UAGGUUACAUUUGUAAUGCGGCAAACGAAAUGGUAUUUCUAAUAUUUGGACCUUUCACAAUAUUCGGUACAGAAAUGAUAACGUGUUUACUGAAAAACACCGUAAAAACAGCAUCAGCUUUGGUAGAGAAUUCACUUGAAGAAUUGGCUGAUGCGCUGGAGAAAAUUAAGACAUUUUCCGCCGAACAUAGUUGGUACUUCACAAAUACAAUCGUCAAAGUCAUCGAUUUUGAAAGAUUCGUUAUCAAUCUAACCGAUUUGUAUUAUUGGAAAUUUUUUCCUCCAACCGGGCAUUUUGAUAUUUUCAGUCGCUGUUGGAAUUUUUUUAUACUUAGCUGAUAAUUGGAGUUCUGGCAUUGGACUAGCACUUUGUGUUUAUGUACAAAUUUUGAUUUUUUGUGAUGUUGGAGAAACUGCUGACGAUGCCAUGAGUUUUUGUUUGUGUUUUUUUAUUUUUUCUCAUUCGAUAAAUUGAAACAUUCUUCGAAGCUCAUAUUUUCAUGAAAACCAUUUCAAAUUCUGUAGACCGGCUAAUUUUUGGAUUCAUUGAAUA